GACGGAGGGUGCAAGCGUUGCUCGGAAUCAUUGGGCGUAAAGGGUGCGUAGGCGGCCUGACCAGUCUGCCGUGAAAGCCCAGGGCUCAGCCCUGGAAGGGCGGUAGAAACUGUCGGGCUUGAGUGCCGGAGGGGAGAGUGGAAUUCCCGGUGUAGCGGUGAAAUGCGUAGAUAUCGGGAGGAAUACCGGUGGCGAAAGCGACUCUCUGGACGGUGACUGACGCUGAGGCACGAAAGCGUGGGGAGCAAACAGG
rnacentral:rRNA from 1 species